rnacentral:rRNA from 1 species
GACGUAGGGGGCAAGCGUUGUCCGGAAUUACUGGGCGUAAAGGGCGUGUAGGCGGCGCCGUACGUAGCGGUUUUAAGCCUCCGGCUCACCCGGAGGAGGGCGGCUAAACGGCGGGGCUGGAGGGCAGGAGAGGUGCACGGAAUUCCUGGUGGAGCGGUGAAAUGCGUAGAGAUCAGGAAGAACACCCGUGGCGAAGGCGGUGCACUGGCCUGGCCCUGACGCUGAGGCGCGACAGCGUGGGGAGCAAACGGG